UAUAGAAAGAACAAGAUGUCAAGAAGCCACAUCGUGUGAAGAGUGUUCUUUGAUAAAUACUAAAUGUCACUGGUGUUUACAAGCGGGAUUUUUAGAACCAAGGUGUGAUCUAAGAGAGUCUCUGAAGAAUGCUGGUUGUAGAACAGAAAAUCAGCAGACUCCUGAUACAACCAGUCGCAUCACACGGGCUGAUAGCUUACGUGAUGCUACAGCAACAGAUAAAGUGCCAGUACAAUUAACACCUCAAGAAAUAUUCAUGAAGUUACGACCAGGUAAAUGGAAA